CAAUUAAAUUUCUUACGUAUUCACUGCGAAUGGUAUUUUUAUUAUAGCUGAUCAUGUUGUUUUUCAUGUCUCCUUAUGUCUUUUGUUCCUCCCAUAAUUGAUGGAGCUAUACAGAUAUUAUUUGUAAUGUAUAAAAGUAUUGUCAUUUAAUUAGCUCUACAUCCAUAAGAAAAUGAAAAAAAUAUAAUUAAUAGAAAAUAAUAAAUACGUUGCGGUAUUCUGGUUUAGUAAUGCAAGUAUAUAAGUUGUGUUACCACCCUCACGCCACUAGAGGCAGUAGCAAGCCCGAAAAGAUGCGACUAAGGAGCAGAUUUA